rnacentral:lncRNA from 1 species
GCUCUCUUCAAAGCUGUCAGACAGGGACAUUUAAGUCUGCAGAGGUUACUGCUGUCUUUUUGUUUGUCUGUGUCCUGCCCCCAGAGGUGGAGCCUACAGAGGCAGGCAGGCCUCCUUGAGCUGUGGUGGGCUCCACCCAGUUGGAGCUUCCUGGCUGCUUUGUUUACCUAAUCAAGCCUGGGCAAUGGCGGGCGCCCCUCCCCCAGCCUCGCUGCAGCCUUGCAGUUUGAUCUCAGACUGCUGUGCUAGCAAUCAGCGAGACUCCGUGGGCGUAGGACCCUCCGAGCCAGGUGCGGGAUAUAAUCUCGCGGUGCGCCGUUUUUUAAGCCCGUCGGAAAAGCGCAGUAUUCUCGUGGGAGUGACCUGAUUUUCCAGGUGCUGUCCGUCACUCCUUUCUUUGACUCAGAAAGGGAACUCCCUGACCCCUUGCGCUUCCCAGGUGAGGCAAUGCCUCGCCCUGCUUCGGCUCGCGCACGGUGCGCGCACCCACUGACCUGUGCCCACUGUCUGGCACUCCCUAGUGAGAUGAACCCGGUACCUCAGAUGGAAAUGCAGAAAUCACCCGUCGUCUUCGUUGCUCAGGCUGGGAGCUGUAGACCGGAGCUGUUCCUAUUUGGCCAUCUUGGCUCCUCCCCUGAUAGUUUUUAUUUUCAAACCAGCGAGAAUGCAACAGGUCAGCUCCACACGUGUCUCAUCCUUCCUGGACCAGCAGCUCCCUAGGGCAUGACCUUGUCAUGGCCAUGGCAGAAGCACAAGCAUGAAAGCCCCACUGCGCAAGGACAUUUCAAGCCUCUGCUCACAUCAUGUCCGAUAACAUCCCGCUGGCCAAAGCAAACCCCACACAGCCACCUUCACAAGGGUGGGUAAUUUUGCUCCACUUACUACUACAUAAUAAUCCUACUACAGGUGUGAUGGAUUAAGACCCGUAAUUUGACCUAUCACAGUCUUUGCAUCAACAGAGUAAGAGGUGAAAUUCUACUUAGAUAAGAGCCUCACCCACAGUAAUACAUGCCAUUUCCUGAAGCCAUAUCAAAUAUAAAAAUAUUUUUCACCACUGCCUCUGAACAGGUUUCCUGUUGCUGCUGUCACUGUCUUAGAACUCAAAGAUAUGUG